rnacentral:rRNA from 1 species
UUUCCGUAGGUGAACCUGCGGAAGGAUCAUUAUUGAAAUAAACCUGAUGGGUUGCUGCUGGCUUUCUAGGAAGCAUGUGCACACUUGUCAUCUUUACAUCUCCACCUGUGCACCUUUUGUAGAUCUGGAUAUCUUUCUGAAUGCCUGGCAUUCAGGUUUGAGGAUUGACUUUUGUCUUUCCUUACAUUUCCAGGCCUAUGUUUUCUUCAUAUACACCCUGUAUGUUAUAGAAUGUAAUAAUAAGGGCCUUUGUGCUACAAACCUAUACAACUUUCAGCAACGGAUCUCUUGGCUCUCGCAUCGAUGAAGAACGCAGCGAAAUGCGAUAAGUAAUGUGAAUUGCAGAAUUCAGUGAAUCAUCGAAUCUUUGAACGCACCUUGCGCUCCUUGGUAUUCCGAGGAGCAUGCCUGUUUGAGUGUCAUUAAUAUAUCAACCUCUUCAGGUUUUACUUGUAGAGUGUUUGGAUGUGGGGGUAUCUUUUGCUGGUCUCUUUUGAGGUCGGCUCCCCUAAAAUGCAUUAGCGGAACAAUUUGUUGACCCGUUCAUUGGUGUGAUAACUAUCUACGCUAUUGACGUUAAGCAGGUUCAGCUUCUAACAGUCCAUUGACUUGGACAAAUUUUCAUUAAUGUGACCUCAAAUCAGGUAGGACUACCCGCUGAACUUAA